AAAUUUUACUCAAACAAUUGUUUAGAUCUAAUAUAAAAAACAAAUUGUUUCAAUAAAGAGUACACAAUCAAAGAGCAGAAUGCUCUGAGGGAUACGAUUGCCAUAGUUUUCAUUGACACAUGUAUAGCAGUUCUGUCAACUUUUCAUUAAGCAAAUGCCUGAGAUUUGGCUAAAAUUCAAAAGAUCAAAGAGGGGAAAAAAAUAGAUCCAAG
rnacentral:lncRNA from 1 species